GACUCAUUUUUUUUUUUUUUUUGCCUUCAGAAAGAGCUGGCCUCUUGGGUUGAUUUGUUCCCAUGGGGAUGGGCUCUGAACUACACAACUUGGAGACAGGACUCAAGGUGGAGGGGCAACCGGAUGCUGAAAUGCCAGCUGUAAAGAAGUCUGCUGCUUAAUUUAAACUGGAUGUGGGAGGACCAGUUCAAAGCUGGGCAGUCUUGUAUAAAGCUGGAUGAAUGGUCACCCUUCAUUUGGA